UACGUAGGGGCGAAGCGUUGUCCGGAUUCAUUGGGCGGUAAAGAAGCUCGUAGGCGGUUCAGUAAGUCAGGUGUUGAAGCUCCGAGCUCAACUCGGAGAGGCCAUCUGAUACUGCUGUGACUAGAAUCCAGUAGGGGAGGCGUGGAAUUCCUGGUGUAGCGGUGAAAUGCGCAGAUAUCAGGAGGAACACCAGCGGCGAAGGCGGCGCUCUGGGCUGAGAUUGACGCUGAGGAGCGAAAGUGUGGGUAG
rnacentral:rRNA from 1 species